rnacentral:rRNA from 1 species
UACGUAGGGUGCAAGCGUUGUCCGGAAUUAUUGGGCGUAAAGAGCUCCUAGGCGGUUUGUCGCGUCGAAUGUGAAAACCCGGGGCUCAACCCCGGGCCUGCAUUCGAUACGGGCAGACUAGAGUUCGGUAGGGGAGUCUGGAAUUCCUGGUGUAGCGGUGAAAUGCGCAGAUAUCAGGAGGAACACCGGUGGCGAAGGCGGGACUCUGGGCCGAUACUGACGCUGAGGAGCGAAAGCGUGGGGAGCAAACAGG